rnacentral:tRNA from 1 species
GGGCGGAUGGUCUAGUGGUAUGAUUUUCCCUUAGCAUGGGAGAGGUCCGGGGUUCAAUUCCCCGUCCGUCCA